CCUACGGGAGGCAGCAGUAGGGAAUCUUGCGCAAUGGGCGAAAGCCUGACGCAGCCAUGCCGCGUGAAUGAUGAAGGUCUUAGGAUUGUAAAAUUCUUUCACCGGGGAAGAUAAUGACGGUACCCGGAGAAGAAGCCCCGGCUAACUUCGUGCCAGCAGCCGCGGUAAU
rnacentral:rRNA from 2 species